UUUCGCCCUUGUUGCCCAGGCUGGAGUGCAAUGGCGCCAUCUCAGCUCACUGCAACCUCCACCUCCCGGGUUCAACCAAUUCUGCCUCAGUCUCCCAAGUAGCUGGAAUUAGAGGUGCCCGCCACCAUGCCUGGCUAAUUUUUAUAUUUUUAGUAGAGACGGGGUUUCACCAUGUUGGCCAGGCUGGUCUUGAACUGCUGACCUCAAGUGGUCCACCCGCCUCGGCCUCCCAAAGUGCUGGGAUUACAGGCAUGAGCCACUGCUCCCGACCUGCAAUUCUUGCUAUGAGUUAAUAAAGGGAUCCAGUAACUGCUCCCAGGGAAAGGAUAUCAGGCUUCAGUUGCCCUUUGUGAAAAUAAGACUGUGGGGGAUCAUGCAGAAGAGGGAGCAAAGGACAAUCCCCUAGAUGGACAAGAGAGUGCAUGACUGUGAGGAAGAGGUUCACCGAGGCUCAGCUGCGAUUGAUUCCCCCACGCUCAUCUCAAACUCUCUUAAGCAAACUUUCAGCCCCAGAUGCUUACACAGAGAUAUUUUUCAGCCUCGAUUCACUUCAUCCCUCAAGCUUGACCUGCAGCUGACAGCUAGUAGUAACUGUAAGCCACAUGAGCGAACAAUCUAGGCCAUCCAGCCCAGAAGAACAUUAAGAUGACUGCAGCUCCAGCCAACAUCCGGCUACAGCAACCUACGAGAAGCCAAAUAAGAGCAGCGUAGCUCAGUCCUCCCAGAAUUUGGGACCCAGAAAAUAAAAGGGAAACUAAACAGGUAAACAAGUUGUUGUUUUACAACACUGUGUUUGAGAGUAAUGUGUUAUGCAGUAAUAGGCAAGAAAGUCUUGUUCCUCUCGUGUGUCCUUUUGGGUUUUUACUUGGGAGCCUGGUAUAAUCGGUCUCUCCGAUUUUAAGGAUGACAGACUUCGCACCUCUAUCCUGGAGAAUUUAACAUCUCCCACUCUGAUACAGUUUGGAUGCGUGUCCCCUCCAAAUCUCAUGUUGAAAUGUGAUCCCCAGUGUUGGAGGCGGGGCCUAGUGGGAGGUGUUUGGGUCAUGGGUGUGGAUCCUUCAUGAAUGGCUUGGUGCUGUCCUCAUGACAAUGAGUUCUCACCAUACAUCUUUUUCUUUUUUUGAGUGUGUAACAUCUCCCCAGGUCCCCUUGCUCCUGCUCUCCCAUGUGCGUGCCUGCUCCCUUUGCCUUGCACCAUGAUGAGACCUCACCAGAAUCAGAUGCUGGAGCUAUGCUGGCACAGCCUGCAGAAUCAUGAGCCAAUUAAACCUCUUUUCUUUAUAAAAUUCCCUAGCCUCAGGUAUUUCUUUACAGCAGUGCAAGAAAGGCCUAACACACACCCCAUCCAGCUUCAAGAAUCAGAAAAAUGCUACACCUGGUCUGGUCAACAUCAGUUACUCUCAUAAAGGAAAUUAAACCAUGUUGAUGGAUGGAUGAACCAAAAGGAAAAGAGAUCAAUGACACAGAUUAAUUUGCUUCUGAAGAAUAUUUUUCAUUGUGUAUAAUAUGCUGUGGAAUAUGAGUAUAGCAGGUUCUGGAAUGAGCUUGUGUUA
rnacentral:lncRNA from 1 species